rnacentral:lncRNA from 1 species
AUUCACACAAUUUCUGUAAUCACAAACUUCCUCUAUCGAAAUACACACAGCUUUCAAUAAACAACAAUCAUAAUCUUCUAAUAACUUCUCAUAUAAUUUAAUCACUCAAUGCUCCAAUUAUAUAAUCAAUAAUUCAUAAAUUAAUCUCUGUUUUAUUCCACAGACUCACUUUUCAAUAUUCAAAAACUAUCCAUUACUUUUCAAUAACAAAAAAAAACAAAGAAACAAAGAGGUAGCACCAAGCUUAUCCCAGCUCAUCACUAUCACAAUCUGGCCUUCCAACAAACUUCUACAACUCCUAUAUAAUUGCUCUUGAUUUUCAGAUUCUAAUCGUAAUCCUAUAAUUAAUCACUUUUAAUAACUAAAUCAAUCAUCCGUCCUUCUGAACUGACUAUUCUAUGGACUAUUAGUCUAUUUUAUCAAUAUCUUAUAAAAACGAACUAAUAUAUAUUCUACAUAGCCUCAC